rnacentral:rRNA from 1 species
CCUACGGGGGGCUGCAGUGAGGAAUAUUGGUCAAUGGACGAGAGUCUGAACCAGCCAAGUAGCGUGAAGGAUGACUGCUCUAUGGGUUGUAAACUUCUUUUAUAUGGGAAUAAAAUGUUCCACGUGUGGGAUUUUGUAUGUACCAUAUGAAUAAGGAUCGGCUAACUCCGUGCCAGCAGCCGCAGUAAUACGGAGGAUCCGAGCGUUAUCCGGAUUUAUUGGGUUUAAAGGGAGCGUAGGUGGAUUGUUAAGUAAGUUGUGAAAGUUUGCGGCUCAACCGUAAAAUUGCAGUUGAAACUCGCAGUCUUGAGUACAGUAGAGGUGGGCGGAAUUCGUGGUGUAGCGGUGAAAUGCUUAGAUAUCACGAAGAACUCCGAUUGCGAAGGCAGUUCACUGGACUGCAACUGACACUGAGGCUCGAAAGUGUGGGUAUCAAACAGGAUUAGAUACCCCUGUAGUC